rnacentral:rRNA from 1 species
ACCUACGGGGCGCAGCAGUGAGGAAUAUUGGUCAAUGGGCGGAAGCCUGAACCAGCCAAGUCGCGUGAGGGAAGAAGGCCCUGCGGGUCGCAGACCUCUUUGGACGGGGAGCAAGGCCGCCGACGUGUCGGCGGAAGGAGAGUACCCGUAGAACAAGCAUCGGCUAACUCCGUGCCAGCAGCCGCGGUAAUACGGAGGAUGCGAGCGUUAUCCGGAUUUAUUGGGUUUAAAGGGUGCGUAGGCGGACGCUUAAGUCAGCGGUAAAAUUGCGGGGCUCAACCUCGUCG